rnacentral:rRNA from 14 species
ACUGGGACUGAGACACGGCCCAGACUCCUACGGGAGGCAGCAGUGGGGAAUAUUGGACAAUGGGGGAAACCCUGAUCCAGCAAUGCCGCGUGAGUGAAGAAGGCCUUAGGGUUGUAAAACUCUUUCACUGAUGAAGAUGAUGACGGUAAUCAGAGAAGAAGCCCCGGCUAACUCCGUGCCAGCAGCCGCGGUAAUACGGAGGGGGCUAGCGUUGUUCGGAUUUACUGGGC